GGUCAGUGAUGAAUAGUAAAAGGUCUGAUGUGCCUAGUGGUUUUGCCUCCUUUACCGUCACAACUCCCAGCAGUUUCUCUUCAAUCUUGCUCUAGAAGUGCUGUGAUUGGAAGGGCAUUUGCUGAUAUGUAGUGAAAUAUUCAGCUUGUGUUACUCUAGAGUGAUGGGUAAACACGGCCGAAGUUGCUAUCCAACAUAAACACAGAAAAGGAGUUUGAGGUAUUGGAACCAAAUCUGGGUAUAUGAUCUCAAAUUUUUAACUGAGACC